AGCAAACUGUUUUCAUAAAAUGAUCUAAGAAUAUAAUAUUUCCCGUACAGGUACCUUUUAAGAACGUAUUUUAUUCGCUAAUUUCAAUUUCGGACGAAAAAUAAACGCUUUGACGCUAUCGGGCACACCUAUAACGAGUGAUUAGACAAUUUGCUUCCGGCUUUCUCCGCAUAAUAUUACAACGCUCGUGUCAUAAACAUGAUAUUAUCGUUAUUGUUUUUAUCAAUCGCUAUAAUUCUAUAAAUCGCUCGGAUGCAAAUUUCAAUAUAUUAUUAUACGAGUAAUUUUAUGCGAACGUCCUGUCCGUAUGUUUGUACAUCGUUCGCCGCGUUUUUUUUUUGUUUUAUACGUUUCCACGUUUGAUUUUGUAUUGAUCAUAUCAAUUUUGUUACUUUUAUAAUAUUAAUGUAUAAUUUAUGUGUAUUUUUAUCGUAUUUUAUUAUAUUUUACAAUAAUAACAUUGUUUUACUGCGCGCGACGAGUGGGGCGAAUGAUUUCUAUUUCGGAUAACCGUAAUCGAACGACAAAUCUCGCAAGCAUACAUCUGAUUUUUUUAUUAAUUAUUGUUAAAUACGAAUUUA